rnacentral:rRNA from 1 species
CGGCCGGGGGGGCGUAAAGGGUUUGUAGGUGGUUUUUUAAGUUGAAAAAAACAAAUUAAAGCUCAACUUUAUAAAUUUUUUCAAAACUGAAAAACUUGAGUAUAAAUAGAGGAUAAUGGAAUUUCUAUUGGAGGGAUAAAAUACGUUGAUAAUAGAAGGAAGAUCAAAAGCGAAGGCAAUUAUCUGGGUAUAUACUGACACUGAGAAACGAAAGCUUGGGUAGCGAACGGGAUUAGAGACCCCGGUAGUCCAUGCUGUAAACGAUGAGUGCUCAUAUUUAGAAUUUUUAGAUAUCAAGCUAACGCGUUAAGCACUCCGCCUGAAAAGUAUAAUCGCAAGAUUGAAAUUCAAAGGAAUUGACGGGAGUCUACACAAGCGGUGGAGCAUGUGGUUUAAUUCGAUAAUACGCGCAGAACCUUACCAACUCUUGCAAAUUAGAUUAAAAAAUUAAAUUUAAUCUAAACAGGCGUUGCAUGGCUGUCGUCAGCUCGUGUUGUGAAAUGUUUGGUUAAAUCCUUUAACGAGCGCAACCCCUAUUAUUAGUUGCUAAUUUAUUUAAAUAAAUAAAAGCACUCUAAUAAAAAUGUCAAUGAUAGGUUGAAGGAAGGUAGGGAUGACGUCAAGUCUUCAUGGCCCUUAUGAGUUGGGCUACACACGUGCUACAAUGAUAAUUACAAUGAGAGGCAAUAAUGAUUAAAAAUUGGAGCAAAUCUUUAAAGAUUAUCUUAGUUCGGAUUAUGGGCUGAAACUCGCCCAUAUGAAGCUGGAAUCGCUAGUAAUCGCAGAACAGCAUGCUGCGGUGAAUAUGUCACUAGACUUUGUACACACCGCCCGU